GACAAGGAGACUAUGACCAUGUACCGUAGUUGCGCAGGCGUGGGUGUCUGGGAUGAGUGCGUGUUCUGAAAUGGAAUGCGAUGUUAUAAAGACCAGACAAUGCAAAUGCAGGAAUGAUGCUCCUGAUGACUGAGGAAUCCAGAACCAGGAGUCACAGUGCAAGGAGAUGAGAACUUUGGGUAAAUGUCUUCCAAGUCGGACUUCGGGAUACACCACAAUGCAGAGUCGCCGAGCAGAGGCUGAUAGCCACGUUCAGUCCCCAUGAGGAUGGCCUCAACUUGGACCUUUGGUUCAUGUCGCAUUACACCCCACCACACUAUACACUCACUCAUGCAUACAUACACUCAGACAGACAUACACACACAUACACACACACUCACUCUCUCACCCUAUCUCUCUCUCUCUCUCACUCACACACACUCUCUGUCCCCCCCGUCUCUCUCUCACACUCUCUCUUCUCUCUCUCUCUCUCUCUCUCUCUCUCUACACCCCCCACCCACACACGCGCGCACACACACAUUCUCUCUCUCUCUCCCCCUCACUCUCUCUUUCACUCUCUCACACACAUAUGUAUGAAUCUAGGGGGUGGAUUUGUAUUUGCAGACACAUUUUAUUUUGUUCAGAAAAGCCCCCAAUUAAUAGAUAGUUGGUCAGUAUGGCAUUUUAUAAAUUUCUACUUUAGACAAUAC